AACUGCGAGUGAAGCGGGAAAAGCUCAAAUUUAAAAUCUGGCGGUCUUUGGCCGUCCGAGUUGUAAUUUAGAGAAGCGUCUUCCGCGUCGGACCGUGCACAAGUCUCCUGGAAUGGAGCGUCAUAGAGGGUGAGAAUCCCGUCUUUGGCACGGACUCCCGGUGCUUCUGUGAUGCGCUCUCAAAGAGUCGAGUUGUUUGGGAAUGCAGCUCAAAAUGGGUGGUGAACUCCAUCUAAAGCUAAAUAUUGGCGAGAGACCGAUAGCGAACAAGUACCGUGAGGGAAAGAUGAAAAGCACUUUGGAAAGAGAGUGAAACAGUACGUGAAAUUGUUGAAAGGGAAACGCUUGAAGUCAGUCGCGUCGGACGAGACUCAGCCUUGCCUCGGCUUGGUGUACUUCUCGGCUCGACGGGUCAGCGUCAAUUUCGCUCCUCGGAUAAUGGCAAGGGAAAGGUGGCACCUUUGCGGGUGUGUUAUAGUCUCGUGUCGCAUGCGAGGGGUGGGAUUGAGGAACUCAGCGCGCGCCUUUGGUGUCGGGGCUUUG
rnacentral:rRNA from 1 species